AGGAACCUUGAAUGGUGCUUUCUUUGGUUUUGUUUUGGGAGUUGGUUUUGCAUCUAGAGUCUGCUCCAUCCCUGUCAGCCUGCCUAGAGAGCAUCAGCCAACCUCGUGCACAGUUUUCUCAGGCUUCGACCUUGGUACUUACUGUUCAUGAUCUGGCAUCAUCACUCCCUGCGCUCAUGGAGACACCGUCUGGCAGUGGCUAACAGGCUCUCCAAGUCCUCUGCCUUCACAGGAAGGCCUGCUGCAGCAGUAGGCAUCGUGCCCUGAUGGUGUGGGUGGUCAUGGAGAAGUGCAGCUUGAGCACCUUGUCUUUUUCUGCCUGCAGAGUUGAAUCACUGGAAGCCUUACCUAUCCUGAGUCGCAACCCCAGUCGGAGCACAGACCGAGACUGGGAGACUGCAUCGGCAGCUUCCUCUUUGGCCUCUGUGGCCGAGUACACAGGUCCUAAACUGUUUAAGGAGCCCAGUAGCAAAUCAAACAAACCAAUUAUUCACAACGCCAUCUCCCACUGCUGUCUGGCUGGAAAAGUGAAUGAACCUCACAAGAAUUCAAUAUUGGAGGAGCUGGAGAAGUGUGACGCCAACCACUAUAUCAUCCUGUUCCGAGACGCCGGCUGCCA
rnacentral:lncRNA from 1 species